ACGGGAGGCAGCAGUGAGGAAUAUUGGUCAAUGGGCGGAAGCCUGAACCAGCCAUGCCGCGUGCAGGAAUAAGGCCCUAUGGGUCGUAAACUGCUUUUGCCUGGGAGCAAUAAGGUCUACGUGUAGGCCGAUGAGAGUACCAGGCGAAUAAGCAUCGGCUAACUCCGUGCCAGCAGCCGCGGUAAUACGGAGGAUGCGAGCGUUAUCCGGAUUUAUUGGGUUUAAAGGGUGCGUAGGCUGUUCGUCAAGUCAGCGGUGAAAUGCCGGGGCUCAACCCCGGAGCUGCCGUUGAUACUGUCGGGCUUGAAUACUGUUGCCGUGGGAGGAAUGAGUAGUGUAGCGGUGAAAUGCAUAGAUAUUACUCAGAACACCGAUUGCGAAGGCAUCUCACGAAGCAGCGAUUGACGCUGAGGCACGAAAGCGUGGGGAUCGAACAGGAUUAGAUACCCUGGUA
rnacentral:rRNA from 1 species